AUUUUGGACAUUAUCUAAAACUAUUGAUAUAAUAUGCUCUUCUCUCUCACUUUAUGCUGCUUUCCAUCUUACUGUUCUUGGCUGGAUGGCUGCAUGGCAAAGCACUCACUUAUUACCUUGAAAGAUUUGAAUUCAAAUCUGAGUUAUAUAUCUCUAGAUUUUCAGGAAGAAUUUGAGCCUGACUUGUGUGAACCCUGUCCUCCAACUUUCAGAUUUACAUUGGUAUUAGUCAGCCAGUUAUGAAUUCUAAAAGUGACCACUGUCAGAUAUCAUAUAUCCUAAUGUGCAAUAAGAUAGUUUAACAAAAAUUAACUUAACUAUUCUAUUGCACAUCUGUAACCUCACAAAUCAAUGGAGCACAUCAACACUGACUAUAGACCUAACACUUGUAGUAGAAUGGGACUUCAGCUGAAGGAUUUAGUUCAAUGAGCUGGAACCUUUCUUCAGAAAAUAUGAAUCUCAAAUCUUGAAAUUAAUCCAAAACUUCAAGUUAAAAGAUAAUACAAUCAUUCACUUGAAACUGAGAAAUGAAACGGAAUUUGUGGAAAAUUGACAGGUGACCUGAGACACACACACAAAUUUUGAGGAUUGGAAUCUGGAUUCAGUUCUGGUUCUAAAAAUGAAAAGCCAAAACCAUUUUAUCUGAUGAAUCUAGAUGGCUGUUUUAUAUUGAAAUCUAGCAGAAUAUACCUCAUAUAUAGAAUAAAAC
rnacentral:lncRNA from 1 species